CUCUCUUUCAAGGAUUGGUCCUUAAUUUUUCCUAGUUCUUGGUUCUUUCUCCUUGUUCUACAUCAAUUUUGAUAUCAUAGCCUAAAUUCAAUCCAAAUUCCAUAGCUUCUGCAAAAUCCCCUAACAUCUCACCUGUGUUCUAGCUUUUCCUUCAAAAUUCCCCUUUAGCUUCCAUCAAAUUUGUCUGCCUUUCACUGUUUAAAAAAUAAAUAAAUAAAUUGAAAACACAAAACAAAAAAGCCAAACCAUUACCGUCGUACCCCUUUCACAUACCCACCACCGUCUGGCUACCAGGCAGCCCCGCCAUUAGCGACGACCCUCAUGCUACCUCAUAGCAACUAUUCCGAUAGCCAGACGUUGCUCGGAAUGCGCUCCGCAAGUUUUCCGGUAUCUGCACCCUCCCGGACACUCAUCAGCAAUCGAUUUACUGAUCCCUGCUAGUGGAAAUGCCGUCCAACUCUCUGAUUGCAAGAUCCGAUUGGGUCGAGUCACAACCCAUUGGGUGAAAGGGGUGAGCUCACCAACAGCUUCUGUGAGCUUCACUUCAUCUGAUCAAUCUUUGACUCUGCCACGUCAUCCUACCAUCUCAUCGGCAUUUCAUUGCCACUCACUGCCACGUCAUCAAAAGGUGCCACAUCAUCCUGCCACUUCAUUGACACAUCAUCACCACAUCAGCUGUUAGUGCCACAUCAGCAAACUAAUUUUGACAUUCUGAGUCUGAUUUUGGAAUCUUUUUUUUUUUUU
rnacentral:misc_RNA from 1 species